UCCCUGGUGGCUCAGAUGGCAAAGAUUCUGCUUGCAAUGCGGGAGACCCAGGUUCAAUCCCUGGGUAGGGAA
rnacentral:tRNA from 1 species